rnacentral:ncRNA from 1 species
CCCACUGAAUAUAACUCCAUUAGUUGGUGGAAGAAAAGAAAUUAAUCAGGAUUCUCUCAGUAACAGCAAGUAAACAGGGA